CUGUUUGAAAAGAUGGAGGAGGAGGACUGUUUGAAAAGGUGGAGGAGGGGACUGUUUGAAAAGGUGGAGGAGGAGGACUGUUUGAAAAGGUGGAGGAGGGGACUGUUUGAAAAGGUGGAGGAGGGGACUGUUUGAAAAGGUGGAGGAGGAGGACUGUUUGAAAAGAUGGAGGAGGACUGUUUGAAAAGAUGGAGGAGGAGACUGUUUGAAAAGGUGGAGGAGGGGACUGUUUGAAAAGGUGGAGGAGGAGGACUGUUUGAAAAGGUGGAGGAGGGGGACUGUUUGAAAAGGUGGAGGAGGGGGACUGUUUG